UGGUGUUUGGCCAUUCUGCCUGGUGCCUUCCCUUGAAUUUAGGUUCGACCCCCUGUGGGGGCCACAGAGAGUCACCUGCAGCUCAGUCCUACCCCAGGUGCUGGGCCCAAGUCUGCUCUUAGAGGAAAUACAUUGAAGUCCCUGGAGGAAGAACCAUGUCUUAUUCAUCUUUGUAUGCCUGGCUUCUCAUAGACACAUACAAGAUGGAGCAAAGCAACCCUCGUACUCCAAAUGGUGGUGUUUAACCUCAAGUUUAUUUUAAAUAUACCUGCCUGACUCUGACCAGAGAUCAAAGUGAACAUCACAAAUAACGGGACAAAUUGACAUUAUGUGUCUUCUGAUAUGACGCUCUGAGAGGAACACAGCACCAUAAGGUGGUAUCUGUGAUAUCCCUGGCCAAUCAUAAGGAAACAAUUACACAAACCCAAACUGAGAAUCCUGCAAAAUAACUGGCAUGAAAUCUUCAAAAAUAUUGAGAUCGUGAAAGAUAAGAAAAGAUAGAAGAAUUAUUCUAGGUUGAAGAAGACUGAAGAAACAUCAAAAGUAAAUGAAUCGCAUGAUCAUGGGUUGGAUUCAAAAAUAGGAGGAAAAAAAUGUCAGUACAUAUUGGAACAAUAGGUUAAUUAGAAUGGGAUGACUGAGAUGGUGUACUAGAUGGUGAUACUGUGGAAAUGCCAACUUCCUGCUCUUGACAACUGUGGCUGUGUAGGAGAAUGGCCUUGCCUUUUGUCUUUUUUUUUUUUUUUUUUUUGACGGAGUCUUGCUCUGUCACCCAGGCUGGAGUGCAGUGGCCCGAUCUCGGCUCACUGCAAGCUCCGCCUCCCGGGUUCAUGCCAUUCUCCUGCCUCAGCCUCCCGAGUAGCUGGAACUACAGGCGCCUGCCACCACGCCUAGCUAAUUUUUUUUAUUUUUAUUUUUAGUAGGGACGGGGUUUCACCGUGUUAGCCAGGAUGGUCUCGAUCUCCUGACCUCGUGAUCCGCCCGCCUCGGCCUCCCAAAGUGCUGGGAUUACAGGCGUAAGCCACCGUGCCUGGCCUUUGGCCUUGUCUUUUAGGAAAUUCACACUGACAUUCCUAGUGGGACUAGACUAUCAUGUCUCCAACUUUCAAUUGUUUCAGAAAAUAGGUAAGACAGAUAGCUAAUGAUAAAGCGGCAAAAUGUUAACAAUUGGGGAACCGGGUAAAAGGUAUAUGGCAACUCCUUGUGUUAUUAUUUCAUCUUUUCUGUAAAUUUGAAUUUUUUUUCAAAAUAAAAAAGUUAAAAUAAGAA